GACGAACGCUGGCGGCGUGCUUAACACAUGCAAGUCGAGCGGUAAGGCCCUUUCGGGGGUACACGGAGCGGCGAACGGGUGAGUAACACGUGGGUGACCUGCCCUCAGCUCUGGGAUAAGCCUGGGAAACCGGGUCUAAUACUGGAUAUGACUCCAUGACGCAUGUUGUGGGGUGGAAAGCCUUGUGCGGCUGAGGAUGGGCCCGCGGCCU
rnacentral:rRNA from 1 species